rnacentral:lncRNA from 1 species
UGGCCCAUGUAUCAAGUUGAGUCCAUUAGGGACGCGUCCUAGGGUUGGAGGACGACUCUAGCACCCCUUUGGUCGUCCUCUCCUCUAUUUAUUUACAUGUAGAGCCGCCAUGAACAACUGGGUUUUGAUUAGAUAAAGUUUAGCCUUCGCUACUUGCUUGUAAACGCGCGUGCUGAUCCAGCCGCCCGUCUUCUUGUUUUCGAAACCCCACUUCAUUAGAGAUUGAGUUUGAAACCUUCAUUUACAUCUGGUAAUUUAGUACUUGUUCUACUUGUUCUUGCUGGUUCUUCGAUUGCUUGCAGGACGAGUGCCCUAUGGCCGGGUGUUGCGCUCUAUAAGAACGUGACAGCCAUUGGAGGCGGUGUAUCGGUUGCUAAGGCGCAGUCUUGAGGGCUGUAGUCGGGCCGUGAACGUCAUCUCCAUUCACUAAUCGAGUUAUCCAGCGCCUCUCAUCGAAAGAUCAGGCGAAAACCCUAGUGGGUUCACAUCAGUUGGUAUCAGAGCAAGGUUUAUCGGUGAAAGAUUUCCAAUUCUUCGUGUUUGUUUUUCCUAUAGUCCAAAAAAAAAGACAAAAAAUAUAGCAGAUUUGUUUUCCAUAAUCCUAUAAAUCCUUUGUGUCGUGGCUAGUACUACUUAGUUAGGGCUGGUUGAAUGAGUGUUUGCUUCGGUCGUGUCCAGUGCUGGUUUUAGUUUAGUCCUUUAGAGUUUUGAGUUCUUGUCACCAUCUAGUCACAACUGUGUCCAAUCUAUUGUGGGUUGGAAUUUGAGUAGAUCUUGAUAAUAGGUGCAGCCACUUGUUUGUCUAUUCUGCGUUUCCAUCAACGUGAUCCAAAAGGAAAGAUAGCACUUCAUACUUGUGCUAGAUAUAUUGAAUUUUGAGGUUCAGCCUUACUCUAGUGAGAGGGUGAGAGUGGUGAAGUGAUAUUUUGUACUAUUUUGUUUAUAUAAUCAGGUUUUGAGUUUCCCCAAAAAAAAGAAAAGAGAAAGAAAAAAAAAUUAAAAAAAAGAAAGAAAGAAAAAAGAAUAAAGAAAAAAAAUCAAAAAAAGGGGAUUGUUGUUCCUUUUGUUUCCAGUAGGGCUGCUCAUUUUGUUUCUAGUGGUGUGCUGUUUUUUUCCUUUGUGUCCAGGCUCGCGUCUCUAGCACGGUCUAGGCUAGGACCAGCACAGUACCACCGUUGAGCGUUUAUUCAGCUCGCUUUUAUAACUAACGUGGUGCUAGUUCGUUCCUUGUUUCAGCCCACCUUAUGCUCAAAAAUCAAUUUGGACGCACCCGAUGGAACACCUAGAUGAGGUGUGUCAUAUGUAAUCUCGCUUUGGUCCGUUUGGAGAUAGUAUUAGUUUCGGUGCAAGAUAAGUGCAUGGUUUGGGCCUAAUGCACCAUAGGCUAAGAAACCAUUUUGGAUGCACCCGAUGGUACUCCUAGGUAAAGGGGCUCAAGUGAAAGUUAGGUUUUGUCUGUUUGGAGAUAAUCCUAAAUCCUAAUCUUCAUGUCAUGGUUUUCAUGUAACAUACCAUAUGCUCAAAAAUCAAUUUGGACGCACCCGAUAGAACUCCUAGAAGAUAUGUUAGUUUCAGUGCAAGAUAGGUGCAUGGUUUGUGCCUAAUGCACCAUACUCUAAGAAAUCAUUUUGGACGCACCUAGUGGUACUCCUAGGUGAAGAGCCUCAAGUACAAGCUUAGUUUGGUCUAUUUGGAGAUAGUGCUAAUCUUAAUGCAAGAUAGUUGCACGGUUUGCAUGGAACGUACCAUAUGCUUGUAAAUCAAUUUGGACGCACCCAAUAGAGAUGACACGUGUCAUAUGGAAUCUCGCUUCGGUCUGUUUGAAGACAGUGUCAGUUUCGGUGCAAGAUAGGUGUACCGUUUGCGCCUAAUGCACCAUAGGCUAAGAAACCAUUUUGGAUGCACCCGAUGGUACUCCUUGGUAGAGAGGCUCAAGUGAAAGCUUGGUUUGGUCUGUUUGGAGAUAGUGCUAAUCUUGAUGCAAGAUAGGUGCAUGGUUUGCAUGGAACGUACCAUUUGCUCAAAAUUCAAUUUGGACGCACGCGAUAGAACUUCUUGAUGACGUGUGUCGUAUGGAAUCUUGCUUCAGUCCGUUUGGAGAUGAUGUUAGUUUUAGUGCAAGAUAUGUGCACGGUUUGUGCCUAGUGCACCAUAGGCUAAGAAACCAUUUUAGACACACCCGAUGGUACUCCUAGGUGAAUAGGCUUAAGUGGAAGCUCGGUUUGGUCUGUUCAGAGAUAGUGCUAAUAUUGAUGCAAGAUAGGUGCAUGCUUUACAUGGAACGUACGAUAUGCUCGAAAAUCAAUUUGGACUGACCAAAUGGAACUCCUAGAUGACGUGUGUCAUAUGGAAUCUUGCUUGGGUC